GAGUUUGAUCCUGGCUCAGAACGAACGCUGGCGGCGUGCUUAACACAUGCAAGUCAGGGAGAAAGUCUCUUCGGGGAUGAUUAAACCGGCGCACGGGUGAGUAACACGUGAGUGACCUGCCUUUUAGACUGGAACAACUUACCGAAAGGUGAGCUAAUGCCGGAUGAGUUAUAUAAGUGCAUGUUUAUAUAGGAAAAGUUGGGGAGACCUGACGCUGAAAGAUGGACUCGCGUCCCAUUAGCUAGUUGGUAGGGUAAUGGCCUACCAAGGCGACGAUGGGUAGCCGGCCUGAGAGGGUGGCCGGCCACACUGGGACUGAGACACGGCCCAGACUCCUACGGGAGGCAGCAGUGGGGAAUUUUGCGCAAUGCUCGUAAGAGUGACGCAGCGACGCCGCGUGAAUGACGAAGGCCUUCGGGUCGUAAAGUUCUUUCGACAGGGAAGAAAAUGCCUAUAAGUAACUGUGUAUGUAUUGACGGUACCUGUAUAAGCAGCCCCGGCUAACUCCGUGCCAGCAGCCGCGGUAAUACGGAGGGGGCGAGCGUUGUUCGGAGUGACUGGGCGUAAAGAGCACGUAGGCGGUGUUGUAAGUCAUUAGUCAAAGACUAGAGCUCAACUUUAGUAAGGCUAGUGAUACUAUAAUACUAGAGUAUCAG
rnacentral:rRNA from 1 species